rnacentral:lncRNA from 1 species
CAGCAUCCUGUCCGCCUCGUCCAACACCACGUACGACACCCUCGACAGAGAACUGUUCCCCUGCUGCAAGUGAUCGAUGAACCUACCAGGAGUGGCCACCACUAUCUCCACGCCGGCCCGCAGCUCCGACCUCUGCUCGUAAAUGUUCGUCCCUCCCACCACGAUCGACGUCUUGAACCCCUCCGCCGACCGGCUGAACGCCUUCACCUCCUUCUCAAUCUGCUGCGCCAGCUCCCUCGUGGGCGCUAACACCAGUGCCAACGGGCCAUCCCCUCUGCGAAUCGGCGGCUGCGCCAGACAAUGCUGGAUCAUAGGCAGCGAGAACGCGGCGGUCUUCCCCGACCCCGUCUCUGCGCAUCCCAGCAGGUCCCUCCCAGACAAUGCCACCGGCAAAGCCUGCGCCUGGAUGGGCGUCGGCGUUGUGUAAUUGUGGAAC